ACAGGCCUGAGAGAAGUCCCUCGAGGAGCCAAGGAGCCGUUCCACUUAGAAGUCUAUGCAUUAAGAUGUCUUAAACUUUUCUAACAGCCCUCAGGGAAGUGGGCUGCUCUAAGAGGGCUUUAAAAUAGAAGCUGCCCCCGGGAGGUGGGCUGCUGGGUCUCUUGCCUAGGCCAGUCCCGCCUUAGACGCUCACUGCAGCCUGAAGAUUCCAGAACACGCUGGUGUUGGUGUGGGUCGCCCUGGAGACAGACGAUGCUCGGUUGCUGGGGUUAGACUGCUCUGGAGCCUCUCUUCGUUAAGACGUACUUGGAUGUUAUGGAAAAAAGUCUCUAAGCAGCUGCAGGGCAGCAGGGAGCAGAGGAGAUGGUACCCCACAAGGCAGUCAGUCUCCUCUAGCCCAAGGAGUACCAUCCAGACCUGUGGCUACGCCGUGUGCUGAAAGUGUUCUUCGGAAGGGGAAGGAGAGAAAUGUUUCACUUCUAAUUAAAAUGCCUUCCUUAGGAACCACGAGGAGAAAAGAAAAAGCUGAAAAUGUGAUCCAAAGGAGGAAAAGGUAUCAAGACAGAAAAUGGCCAGGAGGGGAAGAAAAGAGAAGCAACAGAUGGCAGCUGGAAUAUAUAAAUCACAAUCACGAGAAAAAAGUAGGAAUGAUCAAUAAAAUUAAUGAGCAAA